GAUGAAGAACGCAGCGAAAUGCGAUAAGUAAUGUGAAUUGCAGAAUUCAGUGAAUCAUCGAAUCUUUGAACGCACAUUGCGCCCGCCAGUAUUCUGGCGGGCAUGCCUGUUCGAGCGUCAUUACAACCCUCAGGCCCCCGGGCCUGGCGUUGGGGAUCGGCGGAGCCCCCCGUGGGCACACGCCGUCCCCCAAAUGCAGUGGCGGUCCCGCCGCAGCUUCCAUCGCGUAGUAGCUAACACCUCGCGACUGGAGAGCGGCGCGGCCACGCCGUAAAACACCCAACUCUUCUGAAGUUGACCUCGAAUCGGGUAGGAAUACCCGCUGAACUUAAGCAUAUCAAUAAGCGGAGGA
rnacentral:misc_RNA from 1 species